rnacentral:lncRNA from 1 species
GUGAGUCUGCAGGGCGGGGGCCGCGCCGGUGACUCAGGCCUGCGGGCGGCGGAGGGGGGAGGGGGCGCGGCGGGACCUGCCGGGCCCGGAUGAGUCGGCAGUGGCCGCGGUGCUUGGCCGCCGGCGGUCGGAGCCCUCGUGGUAUUAGCCCUGGAGGCGUAAUCAUACCAACAGCAGCGCUCCGCAUCCGGUGCUGUGUCAGGCACUUAGCGUGUGUGUUAACUUAUUUAAACUGGCAAAGUAGGUCCUGUGGCUGAGCAAUUCAGACAGGGCACAGUGGGGACCGCUUGUCUCUGUUCUACAGUGUUUGGGUCAUCAGCCGGGAGGCGACUCAACGGCUGGGGCUGGAAUCAUCGAGAGGUGACGUCACUUCCACCUGUGUCGGAUGACACUGCCCGUCAGCCAGAGCCCCUCCAUGUGGCCUGGGCUUCCUUGUAGCAUGGCAGCCGGCUUCCGAGAGCGAGCGUCCCAAGAGAACCUGGCGGAAGCUUCAUGGCCUUUUCCAGUCUGGUCUUGGGGGUCAUACAGCAUCAUUUCUGCAGUGUUCUGUCUGCAGGAGCUGUCACAACACCCUCCCCACCAAGGGAAGGGACAGAGGCUCCAUCUCACGAUGGGAGGAGGAGCGUGGUUCUAAAAGAGCUUGUCCCCACCGGGGAGAUACCAUUGUGACCAUCUUUGGAAGACACCUCUGCAGUAGGAGGUGACCCCAGGAAGUUCUGGGGAAUGGAGAAAUGCUGUUAAAGGGUACACUGCUGAGUCGGUUGACCUGGUGGACAACCGAGGCUCACUCCUGCUGGGGACUCAAGAAGCCAUACAGUUCUGAUGCGUGAGACCCCAUGCAUCAGAGUCAUGCAUCAGAGUUCUCCCUCUAAGGGAUGGGGGCUGCAUAUUUAUUCCCUAGUUGAGGGUGGCCUGAGGAUGUUAAAUCGCUGCCCUUUCUGGGCUGCUCUGGACUCGGACCGAGCGAGCCUCUGAGCACUCGCUGAUGACGCUGCCUCCCUGUGGUGACCCCAGAGGGGGCCCAAGGGAAUAAGGGGCAAGACGUCAAUAAAUGCCUUGUCUGUCCAAACCAG